rnacentral:rRNA from 1 species
UACGUAGGGGGCUAGCGUUGUCCGGAUUUACUGGGCGUAAAGGGCGGGUAGGCGGCCACCGCAAGUCAGUUGUGAAAUCUCUGGGCUUAACCCAGAAAGGUCAACUGAUACUGCGGGGCUAGAGUGCAGAAGGGGCAACUGGAAUUCUCGGUGUAGCGGUGAAAUGCGUAGAUAUCGAGAGGAACACCUGCGGCGAAGGCGGGUUGCUGGGCUGACACUGACGCUGAACUGCGAAAGCUAGGGGAGCGAACGGG